UACGUAGGGUGCAAGCGUUGUCCGGAAUUAUUGGGCGUAAAGGGCUCGUAGGCGGUUUGUCGCGUCGGGAGUGAAAUCCACUGGCUUAACUGGUGGCUUGCUUUCGAUACGGGCAGACUGGAGGUAUGCAGGGGAGAACGGAAUUCCUGGUGUAGCGGUGAAAUGCGCAGAUAUCAGGAGGAACACCGGUGGCGAAGGCGGUUCUCUGGGCAUGUCCUGACGCUGAGGAGCGAAGUGUGGGGAGCGAACAGG
rnacentral:rRNA from 1 species